GGUGGCUCAGUGGUAGAGUGCUUGCCUAGCAUGCAUGAGGCUCUGGGUUCAAUUCCUAAGCACCA
rnacentral:tRNA from 1 species